rnacentral:misc_RNA from 1 species
CAGAAAUCAGCAAGAGAUGACAUUGAAAUUUCCAAAAGCAGAAACCCAAUAUCAGGGCUACAAUUUUUUUUUAUGAGAAGUGCAAAGGCAGGAUUUGAUUCUUAAAAAUGCUUGCAUUUUUCAACCAAAUACAUUAUAUCAAUGCAAAUAUGUGAUGACAUUUUUGCCUCUUUCAAAUCUCUCAAAUUUUAUUAGCAGAAGUUCUCCUUAACCAUUGGACAAAUCCAUUGGUCCUCAAGAACACAUGACAACACAGAGAUGGAAUAAUUCAGUAGGAGAUUAGGG